GUUUGUGGUCAUACUGUCCUGAUUGCACCUGAUCUCGUCUGAUCUUUGAAGUUAAGCAGGAUUGGGUCUGGCUGAUAUUUCAAUGA
rnacentral:rRNA from 1 species